UGGGGAAUUUUGCACAAUGGGGGAAACCCUGAUGCAGCGACGCCGCGUGAUUUAGAAGGCCUUCGGGUUGUAAAAAUCUUUUUUAUGGGAAGAAAAUGACAGUACCAUAGGAAUAAGGACCGGCUAAUUACGUGCCAGCAGCCGCGGUAAUACGUAAGGUCCGAGCGUUGUCCGGAAUCAUUGGGCGUAAAGGGUACGUAGGCGGGUAAGCAAGUUAGAAGUGAAAUCCUAUAGCUCAACUAUAGUAAGCUUUUAAAACUGCUCAUCUUGAGGUAUGGAAGGGAAAGUGGAAUUCCUGGUGUAGCGGUGAAAUGCGCAGAUAUUAGGAGGAAUACCGGUGGCGAAGGCGACUUUCUGGCUAUAACCUGACGCUGAGGUACGAAAGCGUGGGUAGCAAACAGG
rnacentral:rRNA from 1 species